UGGGGAAUCUUGCACAAUGGGGGAAACCCUGAUGCAGCGACGCCGCGUGAACGAUGAAGCCCUUCGGGGUGUAAAGUUCUUUCGACAGGAACGAUAAUGACGGUACCUGGAGAAGAAGCUGCGGCUAACUACGUGCCAGCAGCCGCGGUAAUACGUAGGCAGCGAGCGUUGUUCGGAGUUACUGGGCGUAAAGAGUGCGUAGGCGGCGAGCCAAGUUUGGUGUGAAAUCUCCCGGCUUGACCGGGAGGGUGCGCCGAAAACUGGUUGGCUGGAGUAUGGGAGAGGAAAGCGGAAUUCCUGGUGUAGCGGUGAAAUGCGUAGAUAUCAGGAGGAACACCUGCGGUGUAGACAGCUUUCUGGACCAAAACUGACGCUGAGGCACGAAAGCGUGGGUAGCAAACA
rnacentral:rRNA from 1 species